rnacentral:pre_miRNA from 1 species
AGACAGAUAGCUGGGUCAAAUGGUGGUUCCAUUCCCAGAUUUCCAAGGAAUCUCCAUACUGCUUUCCAUAUUGGCUGCACCAAUUUGCAGUCCCACCAGCAAU